CCUACGGGGGGCAGCAGUGAGGAAUAUUGGUCAAUGGACGGGAGUCUGAACCAGCCAAGCCGCGUGAGGGAAGACGGCACUGUGUAUUGUAAACUUCUUUUGUAAGGGAAUAAAGUCCGGUACGUGUCCCUGUCUGAGUGUACCUUACGAAUAAGGAUCGGCUAACUCCGUGCCAGCAGCCGCGGUAAUACGGAGGAUUCGAGCGUUAUCCGGAUUUAUUGGGUUUAAAGGGUGCGUAGGCGGACGGUUAAGUCAGGGGUGAAAGCCCGAGGCUCAACCGCAGAAUUGCCGUUGAUACUGGGGGGCUGGAGAGGAGCAGAGGUAGGCGGAAUGCGCGGUGUAGCGGUGAAAUGCUUAGAUAUCACACAGAACCCCGAUUGCGAAGGCAGCUUACCGG
rnacentral:rRNA from 1 species